rnacentral:rRNA from 1 species
GACGAACGCUGGCGGCAGGCUUAACACAUGCAAGUCGAGCGCCCCGCAAGGGGAGCGGCAGACGGGUGAGUAACGCGUGGGAACGUGCCUUUUGGUUCGGAACAACUGAGGGAAACUUCAGCUAAAACCGGAUAAGCCCUUCGGGGGAAAGUUUACGCCAAAAGAUCGGCCCGCGUUAGAUUAGCUAGUUGGUGGGGUAAUGGCCUACCAAGGCGACGAUCUAUAGCUGUUCUGAGAGGAAGAUCAGCCACACUGGGACUGAGACACGGCCCAGACUCCUACGGGAGGCAGCAGUGGGGAAUAUUGGACAAUGGGCGCAAGCCUGAUCCAGCCAUGCCGCGUGGAUGAAGAAGGCCCUAGGGUUGUAAAGUCCUUUCGGUGGUGAAGAUAAUGACGGUAAC